rnacentral:rRNA from 1 species
GACGAACGCUGACGGCGUGCUUAACACAUGCAAGUCGAAGGGAGUGGCGAACGGGUGAGUAACACGUGAGUAACCUGCCCUUUUCUUUGGGAUAAGUCUGGGAAACGGGGUCUAAUACUGGAUGGAUUGGGAUGGGCUCGGGGUUUAUGAGCGGGGUGGUGGGGUGAUGGCUUACCAAGGCUUUGACGGGUAGCCGGCCUGAGAGGGUGAUCGGCCACACUGGGACUGAGAUACGGCCCAGACUCCUACGGGAGGCAGCAGUGGGGGAUAUUGCACAAUGGGCGAAAGUCUGAUGCAGCGACGCCGCGUGGGGGAUGAAGGCUUUCGGGUUGUAAACCUCUUUCGCCCUCGGAAUGGUAGUUGGUAAAGAAGCGCCGGCUAACUACGUGCCAGCAGCCGCGGUAAUUC